GCAAGGAUUUGAGUAAGUUUCAAAUCCCAGAAGCAGAAUGUUUGUGGAGCAGGUUGUCUCUCUCACCUAGGAUUCAUCUUUCUUCCUUAGCUUGACAGCUGUAAAUGUUUGCUGCCAUUUUGUUCAACAGCUCCCCAAAGAAGCACUCUUCACGGGAAGGUCUUGUGCUUUGGAACACUGCAGUCAGUGAUCAGGCAUGACUCAAGAGCAACAUUUGCUGCAAAAGAAUAAGAGAGAAAAUUUAGAGCACAGGUUUAGCUCCCGUUAUUUAAAACUAACAAAAUUAUUAAAGUGAGGAACAUAUGCUAGACUAUUCUUGCUUAUUGAGACAAGGUCUUACCCAUUAGGCUUGGGGGGAAGUGCUUUUCCCACUGAGCCAUCUCGCCAGCCCAACAAACACUUUCAGAUGAAUUUAUAUAUGGUGGUAGAGGUAGACAGUUGGGGUCGAAGAUGCUUUUAUACUGAUUUGAAUGGGCUUUUUUCUUCUGCAAUGUUAGAUGAUGAUUAUAAAUAUUCCUAAUCCAGUGAGGGACUUUUCUCUAUUGUAGAAAAGGCCUUCCGUGAGAUGUUGUUGACAGCAACAUUCAGUUUUCCAUACAGGGGCUCUCCGAUCUUCACAACCCAGUUGCUCCCCCCACUUCAUCUCUCCACUUCACCACCCUCAAAACACUCUCCGUAGUAAGAGCCCCAGGAUAAAAUGUUAGGACUAAGCGCUUUGAAUUCUUUCUAGUAUUACAGUUGAUUGCACUCUGAAAACAUGUCCACAGAGGCAGAAAAUAAGUUUCCUUGUGAUUGAAAAAUACUUUUUAUGAAACUUCCAAGGCGCUGGGAAGAUAGCUCACCAGUAAAGUACUUACCAUGCAAGCAUGAGGACCUGAAUGUGAUCCCCCAAUACCCACAUAAAAAGUCAGCCAUAGUCAGGUGUGUUUGUAAUCCCAGCUCGUGGGAAGUGGAGACAGUAGGAUCCUUCAUGUUUACUGGCCAACCAGUCUGGCCAAACUGGUGAGCUCCAUGUUCUGUUAGAGAGCCUGUCUCAAGAAAUAAGCUGAUGAGUAAUGGAGGGAGAUAACUGAUGUCUACCUCUGGCCUACACACACACACACACACACACGCACGCACACGCACACGCACAUGCACACGCACACGCACACGCACACGCAUACGCACACACACGCUCACGCACACACACCCAGAGACACACACACAGACAUACAUACACAGAGAUACAUACAUACACAUACAGAGACACAGACACACAAGGAUACACACAUAGACACACACACACACACACUCAGAGACAGACAUAUACACACAGAGACACAGACACACAUGUAUGCAUACACACACGCACACACACAUCAUUUUAAAGAAGUAUCAAUUUUACUUUUUUACUGUAUUUGUUAGGUAUGAGCAGGAGAGCGAUUUAGAGUCUAACUUUAGAAACUGGAGAUGAUCCCCACAUCUUAGUUCUGUUGGGGCAGGGGCUGUUUCUGCAGACAAGACAUUCCCUUUACAGAAACAGUGAUAAAGCUCCAAUUAGUGACUGCAGCAAUGAAGUGGGAAUGUUUAACCUUUCGGGUGUGCCAACAAUGUGCUUCUUAAUUUGAAAAUAGGGUACGCAGCGUUUGCAAGUGGAGAACGGCGAUGGUUCGUCACUCAACUUGACAUGCCUUCUUUGCAGCAGAGGCAAGGGAAGGGAUCUUCUCUGCUCCAUUUGUUCUGCCUUUUGCCUAAAUUCUCUGAGAAAGAGCAGAUGCUCUAAUUAGGGGUACCAGACACUGAAAAUAUCUGGCACCUGGGGAGAGCAUGCUGCCAGGUUCUCCUGCAGAAGCCAGCCUUCCUCCGGAGCACCUUGUGUGCGUCGCCAGCAGCGAGCCUUAUUAUCCCCUUUUUGCAAAUGGUGGAAAAGUGCGGCAGGAGAUUCAAAAGGCUCACUUGAGGCUACAGGGGAAGCCAAAUGCUCCUCUCAAAAUAGAAACGGAGAGCUCUGGGAAGCUUAGACAGCUCGAGAGGGUCCUUUAAUCUCUGGACCCUUCUGCAUCAUUUUAGAAGCUUCUUUACCUCAUGAAAGGGCUGCCAACUCUUCCUCCAGGAUGUCGUAAAAAGUCAUCAUCACAAGAAGAGCAUGACCCAGGGUGCCUGCUGGUCCAAGGAAGAGGAGAGACACAUGAAGCCUGGACCACAGACCAACUGAGCCCAAGCACCUGGCCUGGUCCCUGGCCACACUGUACAAACAUAUGCAGGGCAACAUUGUUUACUGUUGUGGGUGAUUGUAAUGGUUUGCUCUACAGCACACCAUGUUACAGCUGACUGAUACAGAGCCAUUGAAAGAGGAGAUGGUGAGAAAUUCUUAACAGAACAUGAACAAUGCUUGCAAAAGUGUUCAACUUAAGGUAAUGACAUAGUACUUAGCAAGUGCAAGAACUCAACAAAGAUUGUAUUUGAUGUAUUUUAACAGAAUAAUGUUCUGAAUGUCUGGCCUGCCCAUUGAUAUCUUCCUCACAGGUGACAAUACCUUUUAUAUCCUUUUGUAGCUGUUCCUAACAAAUUCUUUACUCUUUAUUGCCCUGCCAGUAUUUGGCAUUUAUCUAAGAUUGAAUUCUAGGCUGAACUAUAAACCUACUAUCUACAUUCUACAAUUAACAUUUUGAUGUAUUUUUUUGUACAUUUCUGCCUAGUCACUCCUCAACUCAUUUUAAUUCUAAAAUGUAUAGUUGUUAUUAUUGUGUGCAUAUGCCAUGUACAUAGACAUAUUUGAGACACAACACGUGUGUGGGACAGAGAAACCCCCUGUGGAACUGGAUCUCCUUUUCUACCCUUACUUGUGUUCUUGGCAUCCAACUUAGGUUGUGAAACUUCCGUGGCGAGUGCCUUUACCUGAUGAACCUUCCCACUGGCCUGUCCAUUUUUUGAUGUUGUUCAAAAUCAGUUGCAGGUGUUAGAUGCCUCACCAACAAAUGCACGUACUCACUACUCUCCAAAGUUUCCAUAGACCCCUUCCAGUCCACUUUGCCCCUCUGCCUGAAGGCACACUCUCUGGUUUCCUUUCACAGUUUACAUUAGUUUGGCCUGCUUUUGAACUUCAUAUAAAUAGAAGUAUGCACUGUGUAGCCCCCUGUGUCCAUCCAGCUUCUUCUUCUUGGCUUAACACUUUUUUUUUUUAGUGAGAACAUCUUUAUUAGGAUCUACAUCUUAGAUUUUCACAUGGAAAUUGAACCCAGAGAUGCAAAAGACUUGAGGACUGUUCUGAUGAAUGAACAUGCCAUUUCCUGUCCUCUCCUCCCACCCAGUGCCCCUAAGCAGACAAAGAUUAGGCAUUUCAAAUGAUGUAGGGAAAGAUUCACAGUGACAAAGAGUUAACGUUGUCUGCUAGAGACUCUCCCAUGUUGACCUCAUCUCAAAUGAGUAAUUUAGACAGUAUCUUUGAAGAUGGCUCUUAACCUUAAAACUUUGUGCUUCUGUGAUGUGUCCCCAGCAACACUCAUCAACUUCUCCUGCCCCAUCUCCCUGCCUCGGGUUGAUAAGUCUUUUAAAACCACAGAGGGGAGUUGUUGAUACUUGUCUCUUGGGCACAGGGCUUUUGAUUUAGUGAGUUCAGUAAGAUGUAAGGGCCGACCAAGCUCUUAGGAUGAAUUGAACUGGACUUUCUCCUGGGGUGUUGCCUGCAGGAUGUACCUAGGGGUCCCACCACAGUGUGAGGAAGCUGAGUUAGUGGGAUCAGUUGAAGAACUUGGCCAGCUGUCUUUCUCAACUCUGCUCUGGUGGGCAAUCCAGCACAUGGGAGGGGGGCGGGAAUGAAAGUUAAAGUGUCACAGGUCAGUUCAGAAGGGCUGAGUUCCAGGCCUGAGGCUGUUGAGCUGCUUAAUUCCUUAGACUUAACUUGAGGUUUUACAUUAGGCCAGCUGUAAAAAUGAAAGGCACUGUCGGGCUGCCACUAUCUUCAUUUCCCAGAAUCCCUUUGUGUGGGGACUUCCAGCAUCAGCAGGGACCAGGUGACUUGUGUUAAGGAGGCACGGGGCUGUUUUGUGUUCAUGUUUAAAAGGUCAGGACAAGGGCCAGGCCUCAUUACUGUUAACAGAACUGCCAGCCUGCUUGGUCGUCUUGUGGGCAUGGAGCUUUGUCUAUAAAUUCCUGUCUGUACAGUUCCUUGGCAGCCAGGAGACUGCACCAACAUCACCUAGCUGGGCAUCUGCCUUCAACUUCCUGUAGUUCCGGGCCAGGCAGCCUUACCUGCUAACCUAAGCCCAUCACAUAGACUUGCUGCUGGAUUUAAGAUCACAUCUUUUAGGUCCUGAAGUGAGGUGAAGCCUUAAGUAGAGGGCUUGUCUAAGCAGUCCUGGUCAAGGCAUGGUCCUGCCCAUCCUUGUUUGUCAGGUUGACUGACAAGUUGUAACUUUCUUUGGCAGGGUGCGGGGUGGAGUGGGGGGAGGCUUCUCUUCUGGCUGAGCCAGGCUUCAGGCUUUCUCUUCUCCCCCAAGUGAAUUUAGAAUUCUUACCCCCUGGGUAGCAUAAUUCCAAUUUCUUGGGUCCAUUGUUUCAAUAAGAGAGCCUUAGAGCAGUGGUUCUCAACCUUCCUAAUGCUGAGACCCUUUAACACAGUUCCUUGUGUUGUGUGACCCCCCCCACCAUAAAAUUAUUUCAUUGCUACUUUGUAACUGCAAUUUUGCUACUGUUAGGAAUUGUAAUGUAAAUAUCUGUAUGUAAGAGAUCUGAUAUGGGACCCCCCAAAGGGGUCACAACCCAUAGGUUGAGAACCACUGCCUUAGAGUAUCUUCCUCCCUGCCAGGCUGUUACAGAAGCAGCUGCCCAGAAACUCUCACUCAUCUCAUUUUCUCUCUGAUGUUCUAGAUAAGGUCAAGGCACACAUUGCUGGAGCAUACCUAGGGCUUCUGGGAAAGCUGGCAAAGCCCUACGUCAAAAGCAACUCUAGGUGAACACAAGCCACUGUGGAGAAACAAAAGUCACAUGACCCAAUCAUGCCAAUUUCUGUAGUUAAUAGGAAAUUACCACACAUGUGCUUGAGCUCCAGAGAACAGGAUAAUGACCAAACUGACCACAGCCUAAGCUGCUGACUUAUUCACACAUGAAAUAGUAAAUGCAUAUUGUUUUAAGCCAGUGAGUUUGGGCAUGGUUUGUUCCAUGGCAUUUUUGAGGUAAUUGAUAUCUAAGACAUAUUUUAGCUACCCACUGAGGACAAUGUGGUGCUAGUAGUCAGAAGAAGUUGAAUGUGUUGCUUCAUAAUUAAAUUAUAAUCAAUAAAAUGACAUUAUAUUUA